GGGUGGUAAUGCCGGAUGCUCCAGUUGAUCGCAUGGUCUUCUGGGAAAGCUUUCGCGGUAUGGGAUGGGGUCGCGUCCUAUCAGCUUGACGGCGGGGUAACGGCCCACCGUGGCUUCGACGGGUAGCCGGCCUGAGAGGGCGACCGGCCACAUUGGGACUGAGAUACGGCCCAGACUCCUACGGGAGGCAGCAGUGGGGAAUAUUGCACAAUGGGCGCAAGCCUGAUGCAGCGACGCCGCGUGAGGGAUGGAGGCCUUCGGGUUGUAAACCUCUUUUAUCGGGGAGCAAGCGAGAGUGAGUUUACCCGUUGAAUAAGCACCGGCUAACUACGUGCCAGCAGCCGCGGUAAUACGUAGGGUGCAAGCGUUAUCCGGAAUUAUUGGGCGUAAAGGGCUCGUAGGCGGUUCGUCGCGUCCGGUGUGAAAGUCCAUCGCUUAACGGUGGAUCCGCGCCGGGUACGGGCGGGCUUGAGUGCGGUAGGGGAGACUGGAAUUCCCGGUGUAACGGUGGAAUGUGUAGAUAUCGGAA
rnacentral:rRNA from 1 species